rnacentral:rRNA from 1 species
AUGGCGUCGCGGCCGUCGCUGAAGUCGAAGCCGAAGGGCAAGGGUGGGAAGAGGGGCUCGUCCGCGGCCGAGGACGAGCAGUCCACCGCGGCGGUGGCGGUGCAGCUCGCCAAGGAGUGGAGCACGUGGACGAUGAAGACGGCGAAGGUGGUGGCGCACUGGGGCUUUAUCCCGCUCAUCAUCGUCGUCGGCAUGACUAAGGGAGACGAGCCCAAACCUAGCUUGCUCCAGCUUCUGUCCCCCGUCUGA